rnacentral:pre_miRNA from 1 species
AAUGCAAUUGCUGGAUCAUGUGGUAAGUGUAUGUUGAACUUUGUAAAAAAUUGCCAAAUUGUUUUCCAAAGUGUUUGUACCAUUUUACACUCCCACUGGCAAU